rnacentral:rRNA from 1 species
AACGUAGGAGACAAACGUUAUCCGGAGUUACUGGGCGUAAAGGGCGUGUAGGCGGUUAGUUAAGUCUGGCGUGAAAGCUCUCGGCUAAACCGGGAGAGGUCGUUGGAUACUGCCGGACUAGAGUUCGGAAGAGGCGAGUGGAAUUCCCGGUGUAGCGGUGAAAUGCGCAGAUAUCGGGAGGAACACCUAUGGCGAAGGCAGCUCGCUGGGACGUUACUGACGCUGAGACGCGAAAGCGUGGGGAGCAAACAGG